rnacentral:rRNA from 1 species
UACGAAGGGGGCAAGCGUUGUUCGGAAUUACUGGGCGUAAAGCGCGUGUAGGCGGUUGUUCCAGUCAGGUGUGAAAGCCUUGAGCUCAACUCAAGAAAUGCACUUGAUACUGGAUGACUAGAGGACCGGAGAGGAUAGUGGAAUUCCCAGUGUAGUGGUGAAAUACGUAGAGAUUGGGAAGAACACCAGUGGCGAAGGCGGCUAUCUGGACGGUUUCUGACGCUAAGACGCGAAAGCGUGGGGAGCAAACAGG